CCUACGGGUGGCUGCAGUCGAGGAUCUUCGGCAAUGGGCGCAAGCCUGACCGAGCGACGCCGCGUGCGGGAUGAAGGCCUUCGGGUUGUAAACCGCUGUCGUAGGGGAUGAAAUGCCGGUGGGUUCUCCCAUCGGUUUGACAUAUCCUAGGAGGAAGGACGGGCUAAGUUCGUGCCAGCAGCCGCGGUAAGACGAACCGUCCAAACGUUAUUCGGAAUUACUGGGCUUAAAGGGUGCGCAGGCGGCGCGGAAAGUUGGGUGUGAAAUCCCUCGGCUCAACCGAGGAACUGCGCCCAAAACUACCGUGCUUGAGGGAGACAGAGGUAAGCGGAACUUAGGGUGGAGCGGUGAAAUGCGUUGAUAUCCUAAGGAACACCAGUGGCGAAAGCGGCUUACUGGGUCUCUUCUGACGCUGAGGCACGAAAGCUAGGGUAGCGAACGGGAUUAGAUACCCCAGUAGUC
rnacentral:rRNA from 1 species